rnacentral:rRNA from 1 species
GCUUGUCUCAAAGAUUAAGCCAUGCAUGUCUUAGUGUAAAUAACUCUUAUGAAACUGCGAAUGGCUCAUUAAAUCAGUUAUCAAAUACGUGAUGGUCGCCUACUACAUGGAUAACCGUAGUAAUUCUAGAGCUAAUACAUGCAUUAAACCCCGACUUCUGGAAGGGGUGUAUUUAUUAGAUGGAAACCAAUGCGGGGUAACCCGGAAUAUGGUGAUUCAUAAUAACUUUCGGAUCGAUUUAUCGAUGCAUCAUUCAAGUUUCUGCCCUAUCAGCUUUGGAUGGUAGGGUAUUGGCCUACCAUGGCUUUAACGGGUAACGGGGAAUCAGGGUUCGAUUCCGGAGAGGGAGCCUUAAAAACGGCUACCACAUCCAAGGAAGGCAGCAGG